UACAGAGGUCUCAAGCGUUGUUCGGAUUCAUUGGGCGUAAAGGGUGUGUAGGUGGCGCCGUAAGUUGGGGUGUGAAAUCUCGGGGCUUAACUCCGAAACUGCAUUCCAUACUGCGGUGCUUGAGGACUGGAGAGGAGACUGGAAUUCAUGGUGUAGCAGUGAAAAUGCGUAGAGAUCAUGAGGAAGACCAGUGGCGAAGGCGGGUCUCUGGGCAUUAACUGACGCUGAGGAGCGAAAGCAUGGGGAGCGAACAGG
rnacentral:rRNA from 1 species